rnacentral:rRNA from 1 species
GUCGAGCGGUAAGGCCCCUUCGGGGGUACACGAGCGGCGAACGGGUGAGUAACACGUGAGCAACCUACCCUCAACUUCGGGAUAAGCCUCGGAAACGGGGUCUAAUACCGGAUAUCAUCAUGGACUUCAUGGUUUGUGGUUGAAAGUUCUGGCGGUUGGGGAUGGGCUCGCGGCCUAUCAGCUUGUUGGUGGGGUAAUGGCCUACCAAGGCGUCGACGGGUAGCCGGCCUGAGAGGGCGACCGGCCACACUGGGACUGAGACACGGCCCAGACUCCUACGGGAGGCAGCAGUGGGGAAUAUUGCGCAAUGGACGAAAGUCUGACGCAGCAACGCCGCGUGAGGGAUGACGGCCUUCGGGUUGUAAACCUCUUUCAGCAGGGACGAAGCGAGAGUGACGGUACCUGCAGAAGAAGGACCGGCCAACUACGU